GAUAAAAACCAGAUAGGGAUAAAAAGGGAUAAAAGUUUGUUGUCGGUCGAAAUGGGCAUUUCUUGCCUCAGGGUUUGGCUCUGUCCCAGCCUAAUAGAACGGUAAGUAAAGAUAAGUGUGGUGGGAUUUUUUUUGUUGUUGUUGUUCUGUUGGUUGUCCUCUGGAGCUGUUCUGUUUCUUUGGUUUUGGGUUUUUGUUUGGUUUGUUUGGGUUUUUUUGUUUUUUAUUUUUUUGUUUUGCAUUUUUGUUUUGUUUUGGGGUGGGUUUUUUUGUUUUGUUUUUUUUGGGGGGGUUUUUGGGGUUUUUUUUGGGUUUUGUUUGUUUGUUUUUGUUUUGUUUGUUUGUUGGGGUGUUGUUGUUGUUGCUGUUUCGUUUUGGUUUUUUGUCUCCGCAGCACCUAGGGCAGCAGCUGGGGAAAGCAUGGAAUGGUUCGGGUUGUAAAAGUCAAACCACCCUGCCGUGGACAUGGACACCUUCCACCAGACUGGGUUGCUCCAAGCCCGAUCCACCCUAGCCGUGAGCACCCAUGGCACAGCUUCUCUGGGCAACUGUGCCAGAGCCUCACCAUCCUCACAGUGAAGUAUUUCUGCACAAUAUCUGGUCUCAACCUGCUCUCUUUCAGUCUGAAUCCAUCCCUCCUUGUCCUGUCACUCCAUAACCUUGGAAACCAUUGCUCUCCAGAUUCCCCCUUAUUUAUGAUGCCUUAUUUAUUAGACCUCUCCUUAUAAAUUAGGCCCUUUCUGAAAGGCCACAAUUAGGUUGCACCAGAGUCUCCUGCUCUCCAAGCUAAACAAUCCAAAUUCCCCCAGUCUCUCCUCAUAGCAGAGGACCUCCAUCCUGCAAACCACCUUUGUGUCCCUUCCCUGGAUUGUCCCUGCAAGUCCUUCUUGUGCUGGGGAUCCCAGAGCUGGAUGCAGUGCUGCAGGUGGGAGAAUGCAGAAACUUCAAAAUGUCUGUAAACAAUCAGUAGAAAGGCUGGCUGUACUGUUUUAUACCUACAUCAGCAGUACGGUCCAGGUUGCCUUUCUCCUUUACUGAGGAAAACAAUAAGCAGAAGCAUUUAUUUCUUUGGGCCCACUUCUAGUGUAUGGAAACAGACAACUGUUGCAUUGUUUAAAAUAAAUAAAUUACCAUUUUUUAGUAAACCGGAAUUAAAUUUUAGAUAUUUACAUUUGUAGUUAAUUAGUUAUAUCCAGCAUAUAUAUAUAUGGCAAGUAAGUAUAUUUCAUUUUUCUGUUUUAUAAAGUGUGAAAAAAUGCACUUCUAGACUGUGCUUUCCUUUAUGGUGUUCCCUCUCAGACCAGUUUUUUUGCUACUGACAAUUUCAGGAACCUUGCAUCUCUUGCAUUACACUGCUGCCUCAGUCCCCUGUAGCAAAAGCUCAUCUGAAAUUUCAGGGUGCAAGUAUGCAACUCCUCAUAUUUGUUAUAUUUAUCAUCAUGGUGAUUCCCUUACUUUGGGUAUGCUAAUGUGCUGAAAGAGUUGAAAUGUGGUUAGUGUCCUUAGUUUCAUACAGAUGGCUUAAUGUGGGAGACAAGAAAAGUCUCAUAGAAGAAGUAGAAGGCCUUUGCUCACUUUGUUCCUCUUUGCUCUCUGACAAUUCAUGAAAAGCACUGCGGGAAACACAGCUGGCAUGAAGACAGAAACAAGUCAUGUAAGCUUCCCUUGGACAAUGCUUCAUCAGAGUGCUGGUUGGUCAGAGGAACGAGUGGACAGUGUUUGUUUAGUUAACAAAGAAUUCGAACAAGUAUGAUUUUAGCCAGAGUAUUUUUAGCACAUAUAAAAGCCUAACAUAGUCGUGUAGUAUAUAAGGCCUUGCAUGAUUGUAAUAAACUCGAUUCUCUUUGGAAGCAAGAGGGUCUGUGUCUCCAUUCACGACAGCUUAAAAUUAGUUUAGGUUGCUGGGGUUGUCCUUUUAUUAGUAUUAAAUGGUGGCAGUAACAUCUGUCCACACUGCUACUCUUUGCUGGGAAGAAUUGCAGCUAGCUGGUUUGAUUCAUUGUUGUGCAAGAACACUUGCAUUCCUUUCCUUUUGCUUUCAAACUGGGUUAUUUUUUGUAUAGUUUUAUUGGAAUCAGCAUACUUAUGCAGUGUAAGUGAUGUGAUUUACACUGUGCAUUUGAAUUCAAUACUUUUGAAUCCUCAUGCAUGAGAUACAUUGCAGUAUAA